GUCAUGUUAAAUUAAGUUAUUUCAUUAUUUAUAAAUAAAUUCGGCCUUCGGCAGGAGUAAUUGCUAACUGCCCUUUUCAUAAGAGUGCUGCGAUAACCUGCGCCCCUCCGCCUUCGUUAAUUAGUGAAUGGCCAUUAACUCUUUUGUUUAUUUUUUUUUCUCUUCGAGUGUUUGGGUUUGAGUGAGAACCGUGAACGAGAUUGCUGCAGCCUGGGACGAGGAGUUCGGACCCUACCUUGAUCUCAGACGUAGAUCCUAAUUUAGCAGCCGUUGAUGGACGCCUUUUCUUUUUCUUCAUAAGUAAUUGUGUCUUUGGAGGAUUGUUUCGCUGGUGCUUUGAGCCACCUGCGGUAAAUUGUACACUUCUUUGGAUCACGGCCCACGUAUGCAGGGGUAUUAUCACCUGCGAUAGCCACCUCGCUUGUUACGUCCUGCAAGUGUAUGUGUCACUUGCGACCUUCGCUUUGCGUCAUUUUCCCCGCCUGAGGAUCCCGCGGGAAGACGGUGCUGUCGUUCCGUCCCGGCACUGUUGGAGGUACUAUAGCCGUGAUCAAAGAGCGUCAUCACAUCUGCUACGCUGCUCGUCUGUGGACCGAGGGUCCGUUAGGAGGAACGUAGGGAGUCAUUACCCAGGACUCUCCAGGAAGGACGAGGUUGCUCCAGCACGAUGUGGAUGUUGGGGACGCUUCUCCGGUUAAACAAAGCCCAUAUCGCCUCAGUCCAGAGAAGCGUGCCAUUGUGGAAGAUGAAAUUAAAUACAUGCUGGAGCACAAUCUCAUACAACCAUCAGUAAGCCCAUGGAGUUCUCCUAUAGUCUUGGUGAAGAAGCCUGAUGAAACCAUUCAUCAUAGCCGUUGAUGCCAGUGACGUAGGAAUUGGGG